CUACGGGUUGCUCCAGUGGGGAAUAUUGGACAAUGGGGGAAACCCUGAUCCAGCAAUGCCGCGUGUGUGAAGAAGGCCUGCGGGUUGUAAAGCACUUUCGGUUGGGAGGACUGCUUCUAGCACUAAUAUUGUUGGAAGUUGACGUUACCUUCAGAAGAAGCACCGGCUAACUCCGUGCCAGCAGCCACGGUAAUACGGAGGGUGCAAGCGUUAAUCGGAAUUACUGGGCGUAAAGCGCGCGUAGGCGGCUAGAUCAGUCGGGUGUGAAAGCCCCGGGCUUAACCUGGGAACUGCAUCCGAUACUGUCUAGCUUGAGUACAGGAGAGGAGAGUGGAAUUCCACAUGUAGCGGUGAAAUGCGUAGAUAUGUGGAGGAACACCAAUGGCGAAGGCAGCUCUCUGGCCUGAUACUGACGCUGAGGUACGAAAGCGUGGGGAGCAAACAGGAUUAGAUACCCCCGUAGUC
rnacentral:rRNA from 1 species